CUGGUGUUCAUACAACCACUGCAGUUUGGGGUGCUGCCCUGCUGAAACACGCCUAGAGGAGACCUGCUAACAUCCCCACAUGGGUCACCUGCAGCGACGGAGCCAGGGGCAUCUCCUUCAGGAAGGCAAAACACAGUGUGCCUGGUCAUUCUUGGGCAUUGAAGGUACGGUGGCACUGUUUGCAGACCAUCUACUUUGCAGUGAUUGGACUCUUCAGCUGCUGUUAAAUCCUUUUGCCGAGGAUGGAUGAGAGACCAACCUAAAAAACAGUUCUUUUGCGGA
rnacentral:lncRNA from 1 species